UGGGGAAUAUUGGGCAAUGGGCGAAAGCCUGACCCAGCAACGCCGCGUGAUUGAAGAAGGUCUUCGGAUUGUAAAGAUCUGUCCUAUGGGAAGAAACAAAUGACGGUACCAUAGGAGGAAGCCCCGGCUAACUACGUGCCAGCAGCCGCGGUAAUACGUAGGGGGCGAGCGUUGUCCGGAAUUACGGGGCGUAAAGGGUGCGUAGGCGGUUUUUUAAGUCAGUUGUGAAAUACCCGGGCUUAACCUGGGUGGUGCAUCUGAUACUGGGGAACUUGAGUGCAGGAGAGGUAAGUGGAAUUCCUAGUGUAGCGGUGAAAUGCGUAGAUAUUAGGAGGAACACCAGUGGCGAAGGCGACUUUCUGGACUGUAACUGACGCUGAGGCACGAAAGCGUGGGGAGCAAACA
rnacentral:rRNA from 1 species